rnacentral:rRNA from 1 species
AGUGAACGCUGGCGGUAGGCCUAACACAUGCAAGUCGAACGGCAGCACAGUAAGAGCUUGCUCUUACGGGUGGCGAGUGGCGGACGGGUGAGGAAUACAUCGGAAUCUACUUUUUCGUGGGGGAUAACGUAGGGAAACUUACGCUAAUACCGCAUACGCCCUACGGGUGAAAGCAGGGGAUCUUCGGACCCUGCGCGAUUGAAUGAGCCGAUGUCGGAUUAGCUAGUUGGCGGGGUAAAGGCCCACCAAGGCGACGAUCCGUAGCUGGUCUGAGAGGAUGAUCAGCCACACUGGAACUGAGACACGGUCCAGACUCCUACGGGAGGCAGCAGUGGGGAAUAUUGGACAAUGGGGGCAAACCUGAUCCAGCCAUACCGCGUGGGUUAAGAAGGCCUUCGGGUUGUAAAGCCCUUUUGUUGGGAAAGAAAAGCAGCAGGUUAAUACCCCGCUGUUCUGACGGUACCCAAAGAAUAAGCACCGGCUAACUUCGUG